GAACAAAUUACCAAGUUUCCACGCCGAAUUAGAAUCUGGAAAUUCGUUGACGAAAUUUCGCCGGUGGAUUCUCAUAAAUAGGCAGCAUACGAGCGUCCAGCAACGUUGAUAGCCAUUAAUUUCUCUCAGCGCGGCAUUACAAAUGUAAAAGGCGCCAUUUAACUCAUGCGAGUUAUCGUACUGUGUCCAGCUUCCGGUAAAACGAUUUUCCGACUGUGAAGCCGCAAUGAAACGGAUUAAGGACGGACGUGGAGCAUGCAUGCGACGUCGCACAAAAACCCGCACGUUUUGGGAAACGCAAAGAUCUACGACGGAGGAGCCUUCUCAUUGUGAAGCAGACCGCAUUGUGAAAUCGGCUGCAUUUCCAGCGACGUUUAGCCACCGCAGCUACGCGCACUAUGUUAGAUCAAUGACGCGAGAAUAAUUUCGCUGCACCGCCCACAAACACGGGAAUCUUUUACCUGAAUUCGAUUUAGAACGCACACACGAGCUGCGAUGAAAUUCACGAGCACAAUGUGGGAGUCAUUGACGAGUUGCGAACACGGGAACUUGUCAUCGCCAGAAAGCAAUACUCGUAUCGGAAGGGACUUUCGAAUUGAGGAGUUGAAAUGGAAAACGAUACAAAUGUCAAAAAAAUGAAAAAACGAUAUUUUUAGUGAGAAAGAGAAUAUAAAUUCUAUGUGGAAUAUAACGAAAAACGGUUAAAACUGCCAGAAUAAUAUUGACUAAAUUGUAGUUGGAAAAGAUUCAAUCUAAUCAAUCGGAUACAUUUUUUACGAUUUAUUCUCGCUCUAAAUCUGCAAAUGUGGUAUAAUCUCAAACUUUAUAAUAUUCAAGCGAUAAAUGAUACAAAAUACUGAAAUUGACAAAAAUGAGAUAUUUGUUUCUAAUAGAAAUCUUUAUUCCCGACACUUAG
rnacentral:misc_RNA from 1 species